ensembl:lncRNA novel transcript
GUAGUGAAGAGACUAGAAUGUUACUGCUUCUACUCUACCAUGUCGGUGUAGCAGUUUCUCAGUGGCUUCAUCCCCCAGUCAUCCCUUUUUUAUGUGCACUCUAUAUGCUCAUCGCAGUGGAAUGACUGCAGUCACUUCUGAAUGUCAUAAUAGUGCUAGUAGCACUGCUAGUAGUACCAGUUGUGUGGUGUAUUGGAGAUGGCCACAAAUUCAUUGUCAACCUCUCAUUGAAAGGUGGAAUCUAAUUGUCUCCCUUGGAAUCUGGGAUGGCUGUCCUACUUAUUUGACCAACAGAAUUUGUCAGAAGGGACUUUCUGUAACUUCUGAAGCUGUCUCAUAAGAAGCCUUGCAGAUUCUGCUCAUGUCUCUUUCCUCUCUGGGAAACAAGUCGCGACUCAGGGAUAAGCCUGAGACACAUGGAGAGAACAUCCUGAUCAAUCUGGUCUUUGCUGCUACCCUGGUCAACAGCCUGAGCUGGAUACCUGGCUGACAAGUACCACCUUUUUCCUACACAGAUGACAACCCAGCCCAUGAGCACCAGAUGCCACUGCUACUCCUUCACUUGCUCAUUCUGCAAAAGUUUGUAGAUCUUCUGCAAGGAGAACGGCAUUGUUAACUACCUACAGGAAGUGUCUCAGAUUAACAGACGUGUGUAGGAUUUCAGUCCCAUUUGAAUACACCCGAUGGAUGUACGACCUUGAGAAAUUUACUUAACACUUCCAGGUCAGCCCGGCGUGGUGGCUUAUGCCUGUAUUUCCAGCACUUGGGGAGGCCAAGCCGGGUGGAUCACGAGGUCAGGAGUCCGAGACCAGCCUGGCCAACAUGGUGAAAACCUGUCUCUACUAAAGAUACAAAAAUUAUCUGGGUGUGGUGGUGGGCGCCUGCAAUUCCAGCUACUCGGGAGGCUGAGGCAGGAGAAUCAUUUGAACCUGGGAGGCAGAGGUUGCAGUGAGCCAAGAUCACACCAUUGCACUCCAGCGGGGGCAACAGGGCUAGACUGCCUCUCAAAACAAACAAACAAACAAACAAACAAACAAAAACAUUUCGGGGUCAAAUGUUUGUCACCUAAAAACAAAGCCAUUGAGCAUAAGAAGAACAUAAUGGACUUUGGGGACUCAGGAGGAAAGUGUGGGAAGGGGAUGAGGGAUAAAAGACGACAAAUAUGGUGCUGUGUAUACUGCUCUGGUGAUGGGUGCACCAAAAUCUCACAAAUCACCACAAAAGAACUUACUCAUGUAACCAAAUACCACCUGUUUCCCAAUAACCUAUGGAAAUAAAAAAAAUUUUAAAAAAACCAAAGCCAUUGAGUAAGAUAUUUGCUUUCAUUUACAUCUAAUAUUCAGAGUAAAAGAGUCUAUAAACCGAAUACUACCUAACACUGCAGAAUUAAACUAUGUUCACGUAACUAAUCUUCAACAUUCCCUAAUCCUCCAUCCUACAAACAACACUCCUGUCCAUGUAGCUUAACAAUAUUGGCUGAAUUAAUUAUCAGAAGAUAGUAUAGUAUGCAAUAAAAACAAUGCUCAUGAUUCUUCAGGCUUUCUGCAUCCACAGCCUUUAAAAUUUGGCUCUGUUUCUCUAAUUCUUGAAUCUGGACAACUAGAGUUGUCACCUGUUUUGACCAAUAGGUUGCCGUAGAAUUGACAUGCUGUGACUUCCAUAACCCACUCACCAAAAGAUGUUGUGUGUUUCCACUCUCUCUCCUGGAAACCAGACAAGUGCCAGGAUAAUCAGAUAAGUCUGGUGGACUGGAGAAGAAGAGACCACAUAUAACAGAACUGAACCAUUCCAGCUGAAGGCAUCUUAGAUAAACUAGCCCUCAGGCAAUCUAGCAGUUGACCACAAUUGCAUGAGCGAACUCAGAGGAGAUCAGAAGAGCUUCUCAACAGAGCCCAGAGUAAAUCAUUGACUCAGAGAAUUGUGAGAUAACUUAAAGAUGCUGCUUAAUGCCCCGAAGUUGGAGUGUUUUGUUACACACCAAAAGUCAACUGAUACAUGGAGCUGUCUACUUGACUUUUUUAAAAUGAAAAUCUUCACACAUUUCAAGACUCCUAUCUGAUUCAGUUUUUUCAAUAAUGUCUGCUCUAGUAAUUUCAAUCUACAUUGAACAUAUUCAUUUAUUUAUUGGACAAACAUUUUGUAACUGUUCAUUAGGUUUUCUUUUUUACUUGCACUAUACUUUUGUCCUUUAUCACAUUAAAUACUGCCUACAUUAGAUUAUCUGUUAGCAUCUUACCAUAUAUUAGGCCAUUUUCUGUCUCAUAGCAAGUAGAAGGCUAAAAUCCACAUUUCCUAGACUUCUUUAUCAUCCCAUUCUAGCUUAACUUUUACAAGGUUAAAAGGUACUGGCAAGGUAUUUGGAAGGUCAAAAAAAAAAAAAAAGAAGAAGCCAUGAUUACUCUAGCAGUAGGUGGUGCUGGGCUUUGUCAGAAGAAGAUAUGAUAUUUUGUCAGUAGCUCAUGUUUGUUAUCCUAUAAAUUACUUACUUUGAUGCUCUUAGUAACUGAUAUGCUUAGCAAAAAUUGUUGGAGAUACUAGUACUUUCUGGUAUUAGCAUCUUCCCUGACCUUUUCUAAUCCUGUUCUUCCAAAGGUUUUAUAAGAGUAUAGUUCUCUGUAUUAAAUCAUUUUAUGUUGGAAAUAUUUAGAUUGAUUUCUAUUUCCCACAUUGAACUUUGAGAGGUUUUUUAAUAUACACUUAUGUGUAUAUUAUGUGUGUAAUAUACAUACAUGUGUAAUAUACACUUAUGUGUGUGUAUAUAUACACACACAAAAUUAUAUAUAUAAGGUAUAUAUAUAUUAACUAUAAAUGUUAAUAUAUAUAACAUAAUUAUAAACAUGAUUGACAAUAGAGUACAAAUUUAUUAACUAUAUAUAAAAAUUAUUUAGCACUAAUAAUGUUCAAGAAUUUAUAAGUAGUAAGAUUCAUCACUCUUUUUUUUAAUAUGGGUAAAUUGAGAUCCAGAGAAAUAAAUGACUUUUCCAAGUCAAUCAUGAGCUACUGUCAUCACUGAGAUUGCUAUGGUAAUUGAUUGGCAUAAUUGGACCUGCAGAUUUCUAGAAAAAACAUGGAGUUAGAUGUCUAUUUUAUAAGAGACCAGGCUCUCUAGGGGGAAAUGCAGGUGUGCUAGGGCUGGGGUGGAAAGUAAGGGACAGUAAGACUGGAAAUUUCAGGCCACCUAGCCUCAUUUUAAGAAGAGUAGCUCCAUUUUAAUCUACUGCCUAUACAGUCAUCACUUGGUAUCUUCUGCAGACUGUUUCCAGGACUCUGCAUAGAUACAAAAAUCUAAAGAGUCUCAAGUCUUUGGUAUAAAAUGGCAUCAUAUUUCCAUAUAACCUACAAACAUCCUCCUAUACACUUUAAAUUGUUCCUAGAUCAGUUAAAAUACCUAAUACAAGACCUACACAUCACUUCAUUCAUGUGGAUUCAAUGGAGUACUCAGUGCUUGGCAAAAUCAAGUUAUGCUUUUUGGAACUUCAUGAAUCUUUUUCUAAAUAUUUUUGAUCCGUGAUUGGUUGAACUCACAGAUGCAGAACUUAUGGUUAUGGAGGACUGACUUGUAUAUGCCUUUCUUUUAAUAUUUCAUUUAAAGAUAGAAUGGAUUAAAAUACCUUUCAAACUAUUGUAAUUAUUGGCAAUCCGUUGCUUGAGAAACAAAUUAGAUGUGAUUGACAAUAUAGAGUACGUUUUUAAAAAUUCUUAUUUCUUAAAACAAUUUAAAGUAUAAUUGAUGUACUAUAAGUUGUACAAACACAGUUUGUUGUGCAUAUGUACUUGUGAUCCCAUUGCC